AUACGUAGGGGGCGAGCGUUGUCCGGCAUUAUUGGGCGUAAAGGGCGUGUAGACGGUCAUAUAAGUUACAGGUGAAAGCCCAUUUUUCAAGGAUGGAACUGCCUGUAAGACUGUAAGACUUGAGUGCAGGAGAGGGAAGCGGAAUUCCAAGUGUAGCGGUGAAAUGCGUAGAUAUUUGGAGGAACACCAGUGGCGAAGGCGGCUUUCUGGACUGCAACUGAUGUUGAGGCGCGAAAGCGUGGGGAGCGAACAGGAUUAGAUACCCUGGUAGUCCACGCUGUAAACGAUGGAUGCUAGGUGUGGGGGGUAUCGACCCCCUCCGUGCCGGAGUUAACGCAAUAAGCAUCCCGCCUGGGGAGUACGGCCGCAAGGUUGAAACUUAAAGGAAUUGACGGGG
rnacentral:rRNA from 1 species